rnacentral:misc_RNA from 1 species
UAAUAGUCUAAAGUCAAAAUGAGAAUUUCAAUUUCUCUCCCUCAAGGGCUGGCCACAAAUACCUGGUUGGCACAAAUUGCGCACAAACUCUAACCAAUUGUUUGCUUGGUGGCUUACAAUAUGACAAUAUCAAGAAUAAAGCAUCAAGUAUAUUCAAUGAAAACCUUAAUAUGAAAAGCAUCCCAACUUUUCAUUGACAUAAAACUUGUACACCUCUAUAAUGGAAAUAAAGUGACAGCUCUGCAGAUAAACUACCAAUUCAAUGAAUACUAAAGCUAAAACUGUUUGUAGCAGCUGGAACUGCCCCACAAAUAAUGUUUGCUCAAAACAGUACAACGAACCCCUUGAUCUUCAAGAUCAAAUGCAAAGUUGACCUUGAAAACUUGCUAAGCAGAUAGCACCGAGUUAAUGUAAAAUUUGAUUAUAAACCUUUGGGGCUUCAAUUCAAUUACCCUACUGUCAAUCCAAACCCAAAUUUGUAGUCUUUCUUCUUGUGAUCUAACUCAGCAGAAAGAAUAAAAUUGAGACCCAUAUUUAAGCGUUCUUCUAAGAAAGCCGCUGCACAGCCAUUGGAAUCAAUCUUUCCUCUUAGACGUGCUUGUCUAAGGAUGUAAUCAUAACCAACACUUGCUGUCACAUCUCUUGACAUGUAGUUGUACAUGAAGUCUGUUGCUAGUGAAACCUUGAUAGAACAGAGUAGUGCAAGAAUUAUGGAUAAUAACAAAUUAAAAAGCUUCCUCAAGAAACUCCAAUACCUUCUCAGAAACCUUCUGAACAUAGCUCAAAGCAACCAUUCCAGUGCUAGCAACUUGCCCUGUUGCAACCUGUAGGUAAUAUCAUAACAUGGUAAUUUGGCUCCGUCAAAGCAAGUAAUACAAUAGUGUAAAGUAAAAACCAAAACAACUCCUUUUGACUGGUGUAACCGGCCAUUAUUCUAAUAUCAAAUUGUGUUUUGUGUCUAUCUGCACAUGCAUCUGUUGAGGGCCAGCAACCACAAAACGAAAAGUUGGAGAAUCCAUGUUAUAGGACCCAUUUACAUAGUAUGCAAACUUUAGGUUCCACUUAAAAAGAUGACCUAAGCAGAUAUCAAUUGAUUUUGCUCUCUACUGAGUCACAGUUCACAACCACAGUGAUCUACUCCUGUAUGUAGACACAUGACAUAAACAUUACCUACAAAUCUUCCACAGAAGGGAAACACUGGUAGAACCUGUGACAAUUCAUGUAUUUUAAUAUAAGACUAAUUCAAUAUUUACUUUCCUUCUGUCACCCAUCACAUCUAAAGCAUUACCAAUUAAAUGAAUUUACUGAUUCAUCACUUUUGAUUCUGGAAUUGGAAAACAGAUACAAGUUUAAUGUCUCUUCAAGUGUAUGCAACCAUUCAAUGUCUUCCUUCAGCAUUCUAAAGAAGAAAUCUCAGUGUCCAUUUUAGCCUGAUCAACAUUGUGAGAAACAAGGGCUAAGAUGUCUUAUAUGAUUAUUGGCCAGUAUAACAUCAUAUUUCACAGUUGAUGCUGCCGGAGUCCAGACAUGUGAUGAAGGAUGAAAGUAAGGCAGAAAUACCAUCUUAUCUGUCUCAUAUCGACCAGCAUAUCCAAGACCAGACUUUCUAUGUUGACCAGCCCAAAAUACUUCACCACCCAAAGACAAAUGUGGGGUCACACUCUGCACCAAUACAAAGAUCCAAUAAAAAGAAAAAAAUAACAUAAAAGAAUCAUACUCUAGGACGUUUGGACAAGUUAAUUUUCACUUGCCCAUAUUUUAGAUUGCUCCUAUUUCCUACCAUUGAAAUUAGAAUACAAAAUUGCGCAUGAUUUACCAGUUUGAUGUAAAGCAAGAUGCAAAUAUCAUAUUCCAUUCUUCAAGACUAUCUUUACAUCAUUAAAAUCCACAAUCAUAGCUAUUCCAUUACUUGAUUCAGAUCAUUUACCUGAAUGUAACUGGCUCCAAAUAAGGCUCCGUUUCCUAGUUGAAGCUGGGUCCUGUAGUCUUUACCCUUAUAAUCAAAGUUGAACAUGGCAUGUGACAUAUGGGGCUCAUUUGUAAGCUGGAUGGAGAAAAACAUAACAAAAGUUAAAAUUGCUCAAAGAUUACCUCCCUACCUCCCAAAUGAAAAAGGGAAGAGGGUCUACAUGAGAAAAAUGAGUCCAAGAGCAAAUGAAAUGAACACAUAUUCCACCUGAGCAUUGGCCUUCAGUGUAAGAUCGUCGGUCAAAUCACACUUCACUCUAGCAUUUAGUCUCCCAUCCGUCAACACCCUCCCAAAAAGCAUUAACUUAGGGUCUAUAAAGUUAGCACCAAACUCAUAAUGGGCAGUCGGGAUUUUGAUGGUUUCUGCAGAUUGAGAAGGAAGUUCCAUAGGUCCCAUAAAAACGCUGUGACUAAGAGAGAAUUUCUGAUUGAGUCCCUUGGUAAAAUCAAAGCGCAUCCCCUCAAAAAGCUCUGGCUUUAAAGACACUGCCAAAAAAUUAUCAAACAAUCAACAAUUUCAAAAGGGCAAACUUUUCAGCUCUAAACUUCUGUUACGCAUCCAGUAAAACCAUGUGAUUUUCUCUUAGAGCUUUUAUUAGCAUUUUCCAGAUCCAAAAGAAAUGAUAUUAUCACCAAUUUUGCAACUUUCAUUAUAUAUAAGUAGGCAUUUCAUAUAACAUAUCAGCAACACUACAGAGAUCUACUUGAGUACAACACAUCCAAAUAAAGGUACAUAAUAUUCCAAAUUAGAGAGAACUUUUUUUUUUUACUAGUGGCAAUGCUUAAGUCAACUAAGCCUCAGUCACUUUUGCAAACAAGAACUUAGAAGAUCCUCGCGCCAAUUAAAAUUAAUUCAAUAAAGCUUUAGCAAGCCAUAAAAUUACACAUGCCCAAAACUCUUCCUUCAUUAUUAACUUCAGACAAUGCUGCUUUGUGCACAAACUUCCAGCAAGUAAGAACCCAUUUUAUAUUUGCAUUAAGAAAUACGGAAAAACAGUAAAGGAACUCCAUUUUUUUUGGGGAAAAACCCACAAACAUGCGAAAUUUACUAACUAAUGCAAACCAGGGCUUCACGCUUAGGUUAACUGCUAGAAUUAAAUCUCCGUUGUGUCGGUCAACAGUAAGAAAAGUCAAAUACACACAGCAAAUAUACAGAUCCAGAAUCAAUAUGGGAAAAACGGAAAAAGAAAAACUAUAGCAAGAAUCCAGGAACAAAUUGUUGAUUUAUCCGAAACACACAUUAAUUAGCAAUCCCAAGCGAUCAAGAAUUUCCUUUUUUCAAAAAAAGGAAAAGAUCAUAAAAGGAAAUUGAAACAAAGAGGGAAACAGAGAUAAAGAACUGAACUAAGAGCUUCACGAUGGAGUUCUUCAUAGGGAAUAGGGCAAGGAAGGUUCAUAAAAUCGACUUUCUUCCCAACAUCAUUGAUCUUCUUGGCUGAUGCUGCAGCAGAUGCCUCGCCUAGCAUCGCCGUACCUGGAGGUACCAUCCCCGCCAUUGCAGUUUGUGAGCUUCAAUUGGACAAAUAAGAGGAACAGAGAGGAGUGAGAUAUGAAGACGGGAGACCAAGAGAGACGGGAGAGUGG